rnacentral:rRNA from 1 species
GAUGAACGCUAGCUACAGGCUUAACACAUGCAAGUCGAGCGACCGGCGCACGGGUGAGUCACACGUAACCAACCUGCCCUUUACUCGGGGAUCGCCUUUCGAAAGAAAGAUUAAUACCCGAUGUAAGGGAUGGGGCUGCGUUCUAUUAGGUUGUUGGUGAGGUAACGGCUCACCAAGCCUUCGAUGGAUAGGGGUUCGGAGAGGAAGGUCCCCCACAUCGGAACGGCGACACGGUCCAAACGCCUACGGGAGGAAGCAGUGAGGAAUAUUGGUCAAUGGGCGUUAGCCUGAUCCAGCCAAGUAGCGGGAAGGAGGAAGGCUUAUGGGUCGUAAACUUCUUUUAUAGAAGAAUAUGUAUUAUAUGAAUAAGGAUCGGCUAACUCCGUGCCAGCAGCCGCGGUAAUAC